rnacentral:rRNA from 1 species
GAUGAACGCUAGCGGCAGGCCUAAUACAUGCAAGUCGAACGGUGUAGCAAUACACAGUGGCGCACGGGUGCGUAACACGUAUGCAACCUACCUUACAUUGGGGGAUAGCCUUUCGAAAGGGAGAUUAAUACCGCAUAAGACAGUAACUAGGCAUCUAGUAGCUGUUAAAGAUUUAUCGAUGUAAGCUGGGCAUGCGUCCAAUUAGUUAGUUGGCGAGGUAAUGGCUCACCAAGACGAUGAUUGGUAGGGGAACUGAGAGGUCAAUCCCCCACACUGGCACUGAGAUACGGGCCAGACUCCUACGGGAGGCAGCAGUAGGGAAUAUUGGGCAAUGGGCGCAAGCCUGACCCAGCCAUGCCGCGUGCAGGAUGAAGGCGUUAUGCGUUGUAAACUGCUUUAUACAGAAGAAACGACUCUUGCGANAGGCAUUGACGGUACUGUAUGAAUAAGCACCGGCUAAC